CGGGACGGGUGAGUAAUGUCUGGGAAACUGCCGAUGGAGGGGGAUAACUACUGGAAACGGUAGCUAAUACCGCAUAACGUCGCAAGACCAAAGAGGGGGACCUUAGGGCCUCUUGCCAUCGGAUGUGCCCAGAUGGGAUUAGCUAGUAGGUGGGGUAACGGCUCACCUAGGCGACGAUCCCUAGCUGGUCUGAGAGGAUGACCAGCCACACUGGAACUGAGACACGGUCCAG
rnacentral:rRNA from 1 species